GAUGAACGCUGGCGGCGUGCCUAAUACAUGCAAGUCGAGCGAACAGACGAGGAGCUUGCUCCUCUGACGUUAGCGGCGGACGGGUGAGUAACACGUGGAUAACCUACCUAUAAGACUGGGAUAACUUCGGGAAACCGGAGCUAAUACCGGAUAAUAUAUUGAACCGCAUGGUUCAAUAGUGAAAGACGGUUUUGCUGUCACUUAUAGAUUGAUCCGCGCCGCAUUAGCUAGUUGUUAAGGUAACGGCUUACCAAGGCAACGAUGCGUAGCCGACCUGAGAGGGUGAUCGGCCACACUGGAACUGAGACACGGUCCAGACGCCUACGGGAGGAAGCAGUAGGGAAUCUUCCGCAAUGGGCGAAAGCCUGACGGAGCAACGCCGCGUGAGUGAUGAAGGUCUUCGGAUCGUAAAACUCUGUUAUUAGGGAAGAACAAAUGUGUAAGUAACUAUGCACGUCUUGACGGUACCUAAUCAGAAAGCCACGGCUAACUACGUG
rnacentral:rRNA from 1 species